GGUUUCAACAACCCCGCGGAUCGGGCACCUUCUGGUGCAGUGGAUCCGCUGGAGCC
rnacentral:sRNA from 12 species